AGGCAGCCUAGGCCAACUGGCCCGGCCGCCCAAGCCGAUUUCCCCGCACCCGCACGAACUCGCAACCCUCACCCGCUCACCACGAACCAGACGCAGCCGCUCUUCUUCCACUGUUCGGCUGUUCCCCAGACCUGACGAACCCUCAGCUAGGCGCCGUCGGCGCCGCCCGCCGGCCGUAGCCGCCGGUCAGAUCCUUCGACAGCGCCCCCAGUUCCCCAAUUCCAGCGCCCCUGUCCGCCGGCGAGGGAGCGAGGCGGCGACCCCGGCUAGGGCGCGACCGCGUGAGGCUGCAGCCUACAGGUUGGCCGGCGUCCGGCGAGCGGUGGAAAGGGCAUUCUAAACAAUGAGCAUUAUCAAGACUGGAUUGAGAAACAAAAUGGGCGAUGAGUGGAUGCAUAACAAAAUGGUUUAGCUUCUUCUGCUAUUGAAGAUGAGUCAUGGGAGGCUCAGAUCAACCAAUUCUUUGAUUUGAUAUCAAUCCUUUGUAUCAUCUAUAUAUGCUACAUAUUGUCUUUUGAUUUGUCUUGCUUUACUAGUUGUCCCAUCAUGGAACAAAUGCUGCCAUUGAAUAUUAUAUGCUUGGUUUCUUGGUAGUUAUGCAACAUGCAACAUAUUUUGACUUUUGUAUGCCUUGAAACUGGAGUUUUUUCAGGUAGUGUUUAGCCCUUAGUUUCUCGCCUGGGGCGUCAGCCAAUCCUGGAUCCGCCACCGGGUGUCGUGAAACACCAAGUCAAGGCUGAGGGCACUUAAAGUAGUGUCCUUCCAUGGUUUCUGGUUCUCCAUGACGGUCCCAUGGAGAGUUGGACGCCAAUCCCCAUAGAUGGGGUGGUCAAGGUGCGCCGAUUCAACAAAAAUAUGAGCCAACAUUGGCUCAUACACAAUCUUCACGAUGAGCAUCGCUAGCACAGCGAGUAGGUUCAGCGGGGCAACACCAUGAAGGACACAAGACAACACCAACGUGAAAGAAAGACUCAAAGUCUUGGUCCUCCGGGGGACCAAAGGAGGUGGUUGGAGUGAAUGAAAAUUUUCUAUGAGAGGCGAAGAUGGAUUGUGUGUGUCUCUCCUAUUACAAGAUGCAUCAAUUGUUUUAGUUUGAGUUUUGGAAAUAUUAAAGUUUGAAAGUUUGAACACAAAGUCCAGACGACGGUGACCACUGCGUGGGCCUCGCUGGUCCUCGGAUGUUGCUGCUCGGGGGUGAUGGAAUCCAAAUGUGGUAGCACACUAA